UACAUGUUGGAAAGCGGAAUAAUAUAGAAUGAGAGAAAAGUAUGAAAAAGACAACUCAGUAGUUCGUAGUUAUUCCCCAGAAUAGAAAUUCACAACAAGAUCCUUACAUACUAAACAGCUUGCCCCAAAAGCGCAGAGAUAAACGCCGUUUUUCAGUACACCUCCAUAUUAUAAGCUACAGGAAGAUAGUUGGGCAUUAUAUGGAGGAGGCUUUUUUAGAAGUUACCAGGGAAUCUCUCAUCGCACUUUCUUGUUGUGAACCUAAAAAGAUUUCCGAGUCAUCUCAUCCUGAAAAACCAAAUGGCCAACACAAAGUUGCGUCUGUCGUUGAUGAACUCAGAUUAAAAUUGAUAUCCAUUGCUUCCGAGCCCCCAUCUAUGGACUCCCCUCCGAAUGAGUUUUAGGUUUAAAGUUAUGAACAUAUAUAACAAUUAUUAUGAUACAAUUUUUUAUUUGAUGUUUAGUUACUAGUUUCAUACAUCUUAAGGCCCAAGGCCAAUGGUCUAUCAUGUUUGAUGAUACUUGUGAAUGUCCCAAAAUGUACAAUACUACAAUUACUACAAAAAUCAGUUAUCCAUUAUCCUUCAUUUUGCA